UCAGUUUUCCAAACCAGAGAAGAGUCUCAAAGUGUCUUCUGCAAAUGGCACCAAUCUCAGGUGUUACUCAUGCCUUUCUGAGAAAAUGUCUUGAAUAUUUCAUCAAAUGUGAGGGGAAAAAUCCAUAAAUAUGUAACUUCGACCCAUGUGAUGACAAGCCUUUGGCUAGUGCUGUUGCCAGCCAUGCUUUGCAGUCACUGACACAAACAGCGGGGGACG